GGAAAGAUGUAGUCCUCCACUCCGAAUGUCCUGGUGUUGGGACCGGUGACGUUGAAACCAUGCUGGCCGAACACCACGCGAAGCUGAGACUUCAGGGGGCUGAGGGAAGACACACUGUUAUCAGUCAGAGUGACAUAAAUACAAAUACCAGCAUCCACUGCAUCUCAAGUGCACUCACGACAUACUUGCGGAAGAAGCAGUGAGCCGCAGAGACAACCCAGCAAGAGGCGAUCAGGCUGCCGGCGCAGAAGUCUGACUGUCCAAUGUAAAUGGCUGCCAUCCAGGGGCUUUUUUGCCGGCUCGUCGGAGUUUGUUUUUUUAACGCUGGGCGGGACAUUCAAUGGGAUAAUCCUCCGAGAAGAAGCUGCACGAGGAAAGAAGUGAAAGUACAUGAUUAUUUCAAACUUAUCAGAUAGCAGGUUUUGUGCAUAUGCGUAUGCUAAAUACUCGAUUUCUCCCCUGCGAGAAGCGAGAAAAGCUGCUCUAUAGGGCAACAAUGUUAGGGUAACAGAGCAACCACAUGCUAAAAAUCAUAUGUAGAGGACACAGCAGAUGGGAAAAGCUUGUGGAUUCUGUGCAUACCCUUGGCAUCAUGACAGGCGGCCAACUGUGCCAAA